rnacentral:misc_RNA from 1 species
GAUGAAGAACGCAGCGAAAUGCGAUAAGUAAUGCGAAUUGCAGAAUUUCCGUGAGUCAUCGAAUCUUUGAACGCACAUUGCGCCCAUUGGCAUUCCGAUGGGCAUGCCUGUUCGAGCGUCAUUAUCCUCCCUCAAACCUCGGGUUUGGUGUUGGACCCAAGUUGUGCGAUGAACAACUGGUCUUAAAGACAAUGACGGCGUCCGUGGGACCCUCGAUGCAACGAGCUUUAAGGAGCACACGCCGAGUUUUAAAAGGACCCUCCGGGCCGAUCUACCUCUCUUUCUCAGGUUGACCUCGGAUCAGGUAGGAAUACCCGCUGAACUUAAGCAUAUCAAUAAGCGGAGGA